GUGUUUGCUUUGACGAUACAUAUAUUAAAAUUGGAACAAUGCAGAGGUGAUUAGCAUGCCCCCCAGAAGGAUGACAUGCAAAUUCACGUCAUAGAAAGCAUUCCAUACUUUU
ensembl:snRNA Gm23169 U6 spliceosomal RNA